rnacentral:rRNA from 1 species
CGAACGCUGGCGGCGUGCUUAACACAUGCAAGUUGCGCGAGAAAGCUACCUUCGGGUAGUGAGUAAAGCGGCGAACGGGUGAGUAACGCGUGGGUUACCUACCUCUAAGUUAGGGAUAACUUCUCGAAAGGGAAGCUAAUACCUAAUAUUCUAAAGAUGGCUCUGCUAUCGCUUAGGGAUGGGCCCGCGUCCCAUUAGCUUGUUGGUAGUGUAAGAGACUACCAAAGCAACAAUGGGUAGCCGACCUGAGAGGGUGAUCGGCCACACUGGGACUGAGACACGGCCCAGACUCCUACGGGAGGCUGCAGUGGGGAAUCUUCCGCAAUGAGCGAAAGCUUGACGGAGCAACGCCGCGUGAGUGAUGAAGGCCUUCGGGUCGUAAAGCUCUGUCCUAAGGGAAGAACACCUCAGUAGAUAACAUCUGCUGGGAUUGACGGUACCUUUGGAGGAAGCCUCGGCUAAUUACGUGCCAGCAGCCGCGGUAAUACGUAAGAGGCAAGCGUUGUCCGGAAUCACUGGGCGUGAAGGGUGCGCAGGCGGUCUAGUAAGUCAAGAGUGAAAUCCAUCGGCUCAACCGGUGAACUGCUUUUGAAACUACUAGACUUGAGAAUAGGAGAAGAGAGUGGAAUUCCUGGUGUAGUGGUGAAAUACGUAGAUAUCAGGAAGAAUACCAAUGGCGAAAGCAGCUCUCUAGCCUAAUUCUGACGCUGAGGUACGAAAGCUAGGGUAUCAAACGGGAUUAGAUACCCCGGUAGUCCUAGCUGUAAACGCUGGAUACUAGGUGUUGGGGGUUCAACUCCCUCAGUGCUGCAGUUAACGCGUUAAGUAUCCCGCCUGGGGAUUACGACCGCAAGGUUGAAACUCAAAGGAAUUGACGGGGGCCCGCACAAGCGGCGGAGCAUGUGGUUUAAUUCGAAGCAACGCGCAGAACAUUACCAGGGUUUGACAUCCUAUGACCAUCUGUGAAAGCAGAGUUUGGCUCUUUGAGUCACAUAAUUGACAGGUGGUGCAUGGCUGUCGUCCACCUCGUGUCCUGAAAUGUUGGGUUAAGUCCCGCAACGAGCGUAACCCCUGUUCUUAUUUGCCAGCACUUAAUGGUGGGGACUCUAAGGG